UGCUUCAAGUCUGGCCAAUACU
rnacentral:miRNA from 1 species